rnacentral:rRNA from 1 species
AAAUUGAAGAGUUUGAUCAUGGCUCAGAUUGAACGCUGGCGGCAGGCCUAACACAUGCAAGUCGAGCGGAAACGAGUUAUCUGAACCUUCGGGGAACGAUAACGGCGUCGAGCGGCGGACGGGUGAGUAAUGCCUAGGAAAUUGCCCUGAUGUGGGGGAUAACCAUUGGAAACGAUGGCUAAUACCGCAUGAUGCCUACGGGCCAAAGAGGGGGACCUUCGGGCCUCUCGCGUCAGGAUAUGCCUAGGUGGGAUUAGCUAGUUGGUGAGGUAAGGGCUCACCAAGGCGACGAUCCCUAGCUGGUCUGAGAGGAUGAUCAGCCACACUGGAACUGAGACACGGUCCAGACUCCUACGGGAGGCAGCAGUGGGGAAUAUUGCACAAUGGGCGCAAGCCUGAUGCAGCCAUGCCGCGUGUGUGAAGAAGGCCUUCGGGUUGUAAAGCACUUUCAGUCGUGAGGAAGGCGGGUACGUUAAUAGCGUAUUC